GAUUAAAUUGAUCUAUCUUUCCAUUUAUGGACCACAUGAGUUAUCAUCAUCAUGGAAAGAGACGGAUAAUUAAUUGUUGUCAUUGAACCUGUGACUGUGAGCUACCUAAUAAAGAGAUCAGAUGGUUCAAGUUCAAACCUAGUUCUUGGAAAUCCACCGUUACAAAAACCAUAAUAUGGACAAAUCACUUUUGAUUCGAUUUAUUUACAACUGUAAUGACAAGGAAAAAAAAUUCUAUAAUGAUUUGCAUAUAUCCAAGUCUAUGAAGGAUACAGUCGCAUGAAAAAGAAUGAUCAUGAAAGAACACAAACGUAUCUGUAUAUUCCAUUAUCAUUGUUGAGAAUUCAGGCAGAAGGCAGAGGUUCUGUAAUUCUUAGUGACCCUCCAAGCUCGAGAGGUACAAGAGGGAUGAGUGAAUGCAGAACAUCAGUUAUCAGCGGCCUAUAACUCGGUUCUUGUUGUACGCACAGUACUGCCACCGCAGCUACCUGAUAUAAGUGCCUUAAAUCCAUAGUAUCCUUGAUAACAGGGUCCACAAUAUUCGGAAGCUUUGAUCUAUCAGUAAGUUGAGGCAUGGCCUACAUGUAAAAAAUGGGAUAAUUAAGCUUUACAAGCCUGGAAUUCUCAUAGGAAUUACCUCAGAGAUUAAAUCUACAGUCGUGUUAAAGGAAAAUUACCCAUGUUACUAUAGACAGACAUUGAUCUUCUGAAAUCAUUUCCACUGGUUUUCUUCCCAUGAGUAGCUCCAGAAGAACAACUCCAAAAGCAUAGACAUCACUCUUCUCUGUUAGCUC
rnacentral:misc_RNA from 1 species